UACUGUGUGUUGGGCUGAGGGAAAGAGAGGAACUGGCCCAAGGUCACCCAGUGGACUUCAUGGCUGAGUUGGGAUUUGAACCCUGCUUUUGCAGGUCCUAGUCUAACAGAUGCAAAAUAUCUGGAGCAUUGGGAAAUUUCCCAAGAGUGUCUUCCUACAUACAUCCCUUCCUCAUCCCCUUUAAAAAUGAAAUGAAAUUCUUUAGCAUACUGAGUUUUCAGAAUGAAAUUUAAAAUGUGCUACGCCAGCCUAGUUAACUGGGGGGGGGGGAGAGGGUUCUGGUCAUUGUGCCAAGUGGGGCCCAUGGACAUUUGCCCCAGAUUCCUGGCCUGAUGGCUCCACUGCCUGAGAGGACCGUCAGAACCUGGAGUUGGCCUGGCCCCACAAGAACCCUUGAAGUUCCCUCGAGCUCGUCAGGGAAGCCCGCUUGCCCCCUCACUGAGCAGGCGCCGCCGUGACCUGGCCCCGUUCCCCACCCCAUCGCAGUCCCGCAGUGGGCUGCAGCCCCCGUGCAAGGCGGGCUCCUGCGCAGGCCUCUCCCUUCUUCCAAGAUGGGCUGCUGGCUGGUUCAUGGCCUGGUCAUGGACGCUGUGGGGCCCCGCCAGGAGUUUUUCUGCUUGGCAAACUGGUGAGAGCAGUACCAACUUGGCAGGAGUGUCCAGCUCUUCUGCCCCGCAUGCCGCUGGCACCCGAAGCUCAUCAGGUGUCCAUCUCCUCGUCCCACUUGGCGGCGUCAGGCAGCUUCAUCUUUUGCCACAUGAAAUCGAGGAACAUGGAGGCCUGCAGUAACCGGCCCAGCCUCUGGAAGUGCCGUGUAUGGUAGGAGAGACUCCACAGCUGCUUUGAUCCCUUCGUAUUGCAAGAGGCUCUCUGCCGUCUCAUGCUUGAGGAGGGUUUCCACCGCUGCCUGAGCUUCGAGGUAGUUCCGCGAGUUUGUGUUCCACGUGAUGGAAAUCUUCAGCACAGCCUCUGGAAGAAGGGGUUUGGGGAAGACAUGUCAGGAAGGAGUGCAAGUUGCAGGCAGCGUGGCCACCUUGAACCAACACACCUCUCUUGCGAAGCGUGGCCAGGUCUGGGCACACAUCUGACCUGCGCCUUUCUUCAAGGCAGGGGAGAAGUUGAAACAGCCUCCCCACCCUAGUAGAAAAGCAGCCUGCGGUGUUGGUGGGAGGUUUUGAAUCAGAAAAAUGCCAGGAGGGCGCAGGGUCAAGCAACCUCUCCUCUCACCCGUCUUUCUUCUUAAACUCGCAACUUUCCCAUGGCUGUUGUUCAAAAGAACAAAAAAAGACUUUGCGAAAGGGCACCUGCUGCGUAAUUAAGUUCAGUACACACACACACACACCUUUAGAGGUCGUCCCUGCAACAUACCAACUAACCUUUCUGGUCUUUCCGAAGCUUCAGGAGGUUCUUUUCCAAGUCGUUAUUAGUUAUUAUUAAUGAACUCCAUUUGCAUGUAGGAACUCCUAUGACUACAAUUAAUGAUGGGAGAGGUGACUGAGUUUAUUCCAGACCACAUGGCUUGCAGGAAUGGGUUUUAUAAUAUUUAUAAAAGUACAACAACAACAACAACAAUAUGCAUUAUAAUCAUUGCUCUAGUAUUACAGAGGUGGCGUAGCUAAUUUGAGGCUACGAACAUGAGUUUGACCAAACUGCGGGAGGCAGUGAAAGACAGGAGGGCCUGGCAUUCUCUGGUCCAUGGGGUCACGAAGAGUCGGACACGACUAAACGACUAAACAACAACAACACCACACCAUACAUUAAAAGCAUUAUUGCUUCUCCCCUGUAAGAAUCCUGGGAACUGUAGAUUACCCUUCUACCGCCUAGCUACAAUUUGUAGCACCCUUUACAAACUGUAGUUCCCAGUACUUCUUUGGGAGAAAUGUGCUUUUAAUGCCUGUUUUUGCUGCAGCUCAGCUACCCCUCUGGAAGCUCAAUCCCACACAAAGCUGUGACGGCCACCAACUUGGAUGGUUUUAUGCAGGAGAAGGCUAUCAAUGGCCACUAGGCACAAUGGCUAUGCUCUACCUCCACAGUCAGUGGCAGUAAUGUUUGUGAAUAGUAGUUGAUGGAAAGUAUAGGAAUACAGAAUGCUCUUGUUUCCCCAGCCUCUGGUUAGGCCUUGUGAGAACAGGAUGCUGGACUAGACAGGCCAAUGUGGCCUCAUCCAGCAGGCACUUCUUAUGUCCUCACGUGGUUCAAGGGUAGAGAUUGUGAGAAGGCAUCUUCCAAAGCAAUCCCACCCCGCAAAUAGCUUUGGAGCCUUCUUGCCUCUAGCCUAGCCCUCACCCCUUUUCCUGUUCCCGCUGGAGUCUUCUUUUGUUUUGUUUUUAUAAUACUUUUUAUUGAAUUUUCCCACAAACAAAAUAAAACAGUCUUAACAAUCA